UACGGAGGAUGCAAGCGUUAUCCGGAUUCAUUGGGUUUAAAGGGUGCGCAGGCGGAUUAUUAAGUCAGGGGUGAAAUCCCACGGCUCAACCGUGGAACUGCCUUUGAUACUGAUAGUCUAGAGUAUAGUUGAAGUUGGCGGAAUGUGUCAUGUAGCGGUGAAAUGCUUAGAUAUGACACAGAACACCGAUCGCGAAGGCAGCUAGCUAAGCUAUAACUGACGCUCAUGCACGAAAGCGUGGGGAUCAAACAGG
rnacentral:rRNA from 1 species